UGAAAUCUUUGCAGAUACUUAGGUAUAUUUUAGGUACUUCAUGGAAGCGGGCAAAUCGAUAUCAUAUGUGAAGGGUUCAAACCCAUUUCCGAGAAAAUAUCUUACUAUGUAUCUCCUAGACAAACAGUAGAAGUGCUGAUCGAAAGACAUAAUAAAGUCAUCGCAUUUUCCAAGAAUCUUGAUAAACUUUUAUCCUUUAUAGCCUUGAUGCAAAUUUUUUGGAAUACUUUAGUCAUCUGCUUCCUAGGCCUGCUCAUUGUAAUAUCUAUUCAUAACGCCGCUGGUGUCGUCCUAGUGAGAGCCAUAAUUGCUUACUUUGACAUAAUGAUGGAAAUUUUUAUCUUCUGAUUUGCUGGAGAAUACCUUAGCCAUAAGAGUCGAUCACUCGGCGAUGCAGGAUACGAAACUUCAUGGUAUAACAUGUCGCCCAGUUGCAGUAAAAAUAUAUUAUUUUUUAUCAUGAGGUCUCAGAAACAAAUCUCUAUUACUGCGGGAGGAAUGACAAAUUUAUCGUUAGAAGCAUUCACGAACGUAAGCCUACUGAUUUUUUCUUCUUCUAUAACUAUAUGAUUCCUUGCUUUUCUCCUAAAUAAUG